AGGGGGGGCAAGCGUUAUUCGGAAUUAUUGGGCGUAAAGGGCGCGUAGGCGGCUUCGCAAGUGGAAGGUGAAAUCCCUCGGCUUAACCGAGGAACUGCCCUCCAAACUGCGUUGCUUGAGGCCGGGAGAGGUGAGUGGAAUUCCCAGUGUAGCGGUGAAAUGCGUAGAUAUUGGGAGGAACACCAGUGGCGAAGGCGGCUCACUGGACCGGUUCUGACGCUGAUGCGCGAAAGCGUGGGGAGCAAACGGGAUUAGAUACCCCGGUAGUCCACGCCGUAAACGAUGAGUGCUUGGUGUAGCGGGUAUCGACCCCUGCUGUGCCGAAGUCAACACAUUAAGCACUCCGCCUGGGGAGUACGGUCGCAAGGCUG
rnacentral:rRNA from 1 species